GCUAGGUAUGCACCCAUCAGCCAGAUCGAUCUUUCAGCUACUAUUUGGGCUUUUUCGGUUUUAUGUGUUUUGAUUUUUUUUCCUGGUUUGUUGGCCCAUUCAUAGUGUCCAUCGAGUCCAUUGCAGGCAUUUGUGGGAAAAUUAAAAUUGUGCUGCCAUUUUUCUUGGGGUGAUUGUCCUCGGCCAGAUCAGGUCGUUCAUGUUGGCAACCUCAAUACAUCCACUCCGCUCCCAGCUAGCUCUUUAGAAUUUUGGAUAUAAUGAAAAUGGUAAGUGUCGUGUCCGCUCCAGCUAGAAUGAGCUAGAACAUGACCAGCUUAUGUUAAAAUGUGUCAAAUCUUGUGUUUUUUUUAUUUAUCCUAUCUCCACUUUCUGGUUGAAUUAUGUUUCUUAACAAUCUGCAUCGUUAGAUUUGUUAUAACGAUCUUUACCCUGUUAGGACCUCAGUAUUGUGAUGGACAAUUUGACCAUCUUUGUUUCUACACCAGUGGAUUUUGUAUUAGACGUAGACUUUCAGGCUAAAUCAUCAGGUUAUAGUCGGUCAGUUGGCAGGCCUCUUAAUGAAAUUAAAAACAGUGCUGCUGUCGUCCAUCAAACAAAGCGUCUUCAUGGUUUAUCUGUUAUGAUAAAUAGUGAAGUUCAGAGUUUCAGACAACGAAGAUUGAUAAAGGAUAAUGAACUACUUAAUCUGUGAGUUUGUAUGAGUGUUCCUCCAUGUCAAAUAUUGCAAGAAUGCUAUCUAUAAUUUCUUUUCCCCAUCAGAUUAUUAUCUUUCCUAAGAGAGAGCACCAAUCCUUUAACUUAUUUCUUUUGAAAAUUUUAAGUACAGAAAAUUUACACAUCAAGGUUUCCUCACUGCAUGCCAAAAAAUUCUAAAAAUGACAGUAGGUAAUCUUCCUUGCAAAUUUGAGUUCUGAUGGUAUAGCUCUGUAUUGCCAAAUUGACUCAAUAUACAUUGUGUCAAAUGCAAAUCAUUUGAUAUCAUUGUGUUUCUGGAGAGGCUUGAUGAAUCUCUUUUCAUUUAUGUGUUUCAGGCUAUGUUUGAUAAGUUGUUUACCUUCCUUAUUGUCCGUAUUUACAAACUCCUUCGCCUGAUAUUGUUUCUAAUUUAUGCUUGCUGCCCUCCUAUUUAUUUGGUUUCAGAGAACUUGACCAUUGACAACACAAAUUGCAGGGUUAGGCCUGAACAUUGUGGACUGGAUGUUCAAGAUUGUUCUUAUAUGUCAAGGUAGUGGGGAUGGAAGCUAUAGUUGUAAGCACACAAUGAAAAACCGUGGUGGAGAGAUGCUACCCGAAGAUGUUCUCCUGAUCAUCUUAUGUAGAUCCUGUGCAGGUUAUCUUUCUAUUAUUUGAGUUUAAAAGGUUUCAGUAUCUAUUAUGGUAAUUGUGUUAUCAUGUGUUUUGAUUUUUCUUUUGAAAAUUCUUCAUUUCUAUGAUUCAGACAUGUAAGGGUGUUGCUGGUCGGCUAUAGUUUUGACUUAUCAUUUGCUGGCUUCAUGAGAUUUGAGUUUGUUUUGCUCAUACCCACAAGUAUGCACAAUGAUAAGAAAUAAAGCUAUUUGGGUAUGUGCAAUGUAAUCGACUGGUUAGGCCUUUCUUGAAUUAACAGUUCUUAGCUGUCACCUUUCAUAUGUAUAUGUUACUACUUUAUUGCAUACAUCAGAUGGUGUAGGGAGUGAGAAGAAGAUUCAUAUGUUUGGAGACUUAUUUGGGUCUGAGAAUUUCUCCUUACAAUAGAAAAGUACAGUUAGAUCUUCUCCGAAGUGUCUACAUAUAAGUGAUUUGUUGCAAGCAUGACCUUGUACUUAUUCAGACUGCAGUUCAAUAAGAGAUCGGAAGGGGCCUUCUGGUGGAAGGGGCCUUCCGAUGAAUAUCGGAGUUCUUUUAUUUUUAAGUCA